CCUACGGGCGGCUGCAGUGGGGAAUAUUGCACAAUGGGCGCAAGCCUGAUGCAGCCAUGCCGCGUGUGUGAAGAAGGUCUUCGGGUUGUAAAGCACUUUCAGCGGGGAGGAAGGCGGUGAGGUUAAUAACCUCAUCGAUUGACGUUACCCGCAGAAGAAGCACCGGCUAACUCCGUGCCAGCAGCCGCGGUAAUACGGAGGGUGCAAGCGUUAAUCGGAAUUACUGGGCGUAAAGCGCACGCAGGCGGUCUGUCAAGUCGGAUGUGAAAUCCCCGGGCUCAACCUGGGAACUGUAUUCGAAACUGGCAGGCUAGAGUCUUGUAGAGGGGGGUAGAAUUCCAGGUGUAGCGGUGAAAUGCGUAGAGAUCUGGAGGAAUACCGGUGGCGAAGGCGGCCCCCUGGACAAAGACUGACGCGCAGGUGCGAAAGCGUGGGGAGCAAACAGGAUUAGAUACCCGGGUAGUC
rnacentral:rRNA from 1 species